AGAAACCAAGAACUAGAGAGAGAAGCUCUCGGCCAUGGCUGGCCGAGAAUGAGCUCCAAGAUUUCGACCAAAAAAAUAAAUUUCUCCCUCAAAUCAACUCCUCAUCAUGUGUAUAAGAACAUGUAGUAGUUGUUGAAAAGAAACAAGAAGGUGUAGCAUUUCAAAAGGGUUGAAGAUUCGGCCAAGUGAAGCACAAGAUUGAAAGGAUAAGUGUUGUUGGGCAGCAAGUACAAGUUAGAAUACAACUAAACGCAAAAGGUACAGACGCUCGUUUCGGAGAUCCGCCAGCUUAGGAUACUUGUUCAGCUAUUUUGGACUGCUCCUUUGUUCUGGAGCCUAGUUGUGGUAUAACUCCCUUAUGUUGUAUUCAUAUGUGUUUAAAUGGGGUACGGCGGGGCCCUGUCCCGCCAUAUGAGACUGUUAUUACUCUUAGAGGUUUGCGGACAUCGGUGUGGGUCUGUUUACAGUUGCUAAUGCGUUUUAUGUUUUUGACUUAAGUUUGGGGCGUACCCAUUCGUAAUGGCAGCCUUGUCGGCUUGCAUAUGUGCGUAUACUUGGUAUUUUGUAUAUCGUGGCAGCCUUGUCGGCCUGCUUAGGAAUAUA